GACAGAGGGGGCAAGCGUUGCUCGGAAUCACUGGGCGUAAAGGGCGCGUAGGCGGGAUGGCAAGUCGGUCGUGAAAUCUCUCGGCUCAACCGAGAAACGUCGGCCGAUACUGCCGUUCUUGAGGGAUGCAGAGGAGACUGGAAUUCCCGGUGUAGCGGUGAAAUGCGUAGAUAUCGAGAGGAACACCUGCGGCGAAGGCGGGUUGCGUGGCUGACACUGCGCUGAUGCGCGAAAGCCAGGGAGCGAACGGG
rnacentral:rRNA from 1 species